ACUUGAACCCCAAAGACACGGCGCUGUGAUGUCACAAGGCGAUCUGAGCUCUCUCGGAGCGGGCUCCCUCUGGCGGCAGCCCGCGACCACCGCCUUGCAGGCAUGUAGCUACCUGUGCCAUCUUUACUGCACUAAUUAAGGUCAGGGCAAGAGUCGCUGUGUGUCCAGAAAGCCGAGUCGGGGGAUCGCGGGACGACACGAACUCCUGGUACCUACCGAAAAAGAGGAACUGGGAGACAGGGAUAUUACCUUCCUUGAUGACUGCAUUUCAGAGAUGGCACCCAGAUCCUUGAAAAGGGCAUUGCUGUGCUGUAAAGCUGGACCCAGAGUACCAACAGACCUAGAAAGAUGGCGGAGGAAGAGCAAAGGAAAAUCCCUUUCAUUCCAGAAAAUCUCCUGAAAAAGAGGAAGGCUUAUCAAGCUCUCAAAGCCACCCAGGCAAAGCAGGCACUUUUGGCAAGGAAGGAGCAAAGAAAAGGAAAAGGGCUCAAGUUUAAGCGAUUGGAAUUGUUCCUGUAUGAUUCCUGGUGACAGAAACGUGACAGUGUGCGUCUCAGAAGACUGGAAGUGAAACCUCAUGCCUUGGAAUUGCCAGAUAAACACUCCUUGGCCUUUGUUGUACACAUCCAAAGGAUUGAUGGGGUGAGUUCACUGGUGCAGAGGACCAUUGCAAGACUUCACCUGAAGAAAAUUUUCAGUGGUGUCUUUGUCAAAGUCACCCCCCAGAACCUAAAAAUGCUGCGUAUUGUAGAGCCCUAUGUGACCUGGGGAUUUCCAAAUCCGAAGUCCGUUCGGGAACUCAUCUUGAAACGUGGACAAGCCAGGGUCAAGAAUAAGACCAUUCCUCUGACAGACAACACAGUGAUUGAGGAGCACCUGGGGAAGUUUGGUGUCAUUUGCUUGGAAGACCUCAUUCAUGAAAUUGCCUUCCCGGGAAAGCAUUUCCAGGAGAUCUCAUGGUUCUUGCGCCCUUUCCAAUUCUCAGUAGCCCGUCAUGCUACCAAAAAUAGAGUAGGCUUCGUCAAGGAAAUGGGCUCACCUGGCUAUCGGGGUGAACGCAUCAAUCAGCUAAUCCGCCUGCUGAACUAGACCUAGAAUGUCUGAAAGCACAGUGCAUUGGAAGCACGUGUUUUUGUUUUUUGGAAUUGAUAUCAAGUAUCUUCAGAGAAGAUUAUAUUUGGGACUCUUCCUUCAAAAACUGGAAGGAAAGGAUCAGGGAAAAGAUAGAAGAUUAUGUUAAUGGCAGGCACCUCUCAUCACAGUCCAGUUCCAAGGAAAAAUUCCAGUGUUCUCCACGUUGGCUGCCCCCACCUU